CUCCGGAGUUGCUGGGACUACAGGCGCCCUCCACCAUGCCUGGCUAAUUUUUUGUAUUUUUAGUGGAGGCGGGGUUUCACCAUGUUAGCCAGGAUGGUCUGGAUCUCCUGACCUCUUAAUCCGCCCGCCUCAGCCUCCCAAAGUGCUGAGCCAAGGGAUUACAGGUAUGAAACACGAUUUUUCUAUAAUCUGUGAAAGGACAUUUCAGAGCCCACUGAAGCCUAUAGUGAAAAACAGAAGAACCAGCAAUAAAAAAUGAGAAAGAAGCUAUCUGUGAAACUGCUUUGUUAUAUGUGCAUUCAGCUCACAGAGUUAAACCUUGGUUUUGAUACAGCAAGUUGGAAGCACCCUUUUUGUAGAACUUGUGAAGGGACAUUUUGGAGUAAACUGAGACCUAUAGUGGAAAACUGAAUAUCCCAAGAUAAAAUCAAGAAAGAAGCUAUCUGUGAAACUGCUUUAGGAUGUAUGGAUUCACUUCACAGUGUUAAAACUUUCUUUUUAUUUAGCAUGUUGUAAACAGUCUUUUUGUUGAAUCUGCAAAGGGAACUUUUGGAACCCACUGAAGUCUACAGUGAGAAACAGAAUAUCCCAUGAUAUUCACAGAAGAAGCUAUCUGUGAAACUGCUUUGUAAUGUGUGUAUUCAGCUCAAAGAAGUAAACCUUUUUUUGAUUCAGCAGCUUGGAAACAUUCUCUUUGUAGUAUUUGUGAAGGGACAUUUCUGAGCCUUCUGAAGCAUAGAGUGAAAAAUGAAAUAAAGAAGGUACCUGUGAAUCUAAUUGUGAUGUGCAGAUUCAGCUCACUGAGUUAAAACUUUCUUUGGAUUAAGAAGGUUGGUAACACUCUUUUUGUAGAAUCUGUGAAGAGACAUUUCAGAAGCCAACUGAGGCCUAUAUUGAGAAAGAGAAUAUUUCACAGUAAGAACUAGAAAGAAGAUAUGUGUGAGGCUGCUUUGUGAUAUGGGGAUUCAGCUCAUAGAAUUGAACUUUUCUUUUGAUUCAGCAUGUUGGAUACACUCUUUUUGUAGAAUCUGCAUAGGAACAUUUUGGGGUGCACUGAGGCCUAUAGUGAGAAAAAGAACAUCCAGCAAUUCAAACUAGAAAGAAUUAAUAUGUGAAACUGCUUUGUAAUGUGUGCAUUCAGAUAACAGAAUUAAACCUUUCCUUUAAUUCAGCAGGUUAAAAACAAACUUUUUGUAAAAUCUAUGAAGGGAGAUUUCAAAGCCCACUGAGGCCAGUAGAGAAAAACCAGAUAUUCCAUGAUAAAAACUAGAAAGAAGCUAUCUGAGAAACUGCUUUGUGAUUUGUGAAUUCAGCUCAAUGACUUAAACCUUUCUUUUUACACAGCAGAUAGGAAUCUGCUGUAGAAUCUGCAAAGGGACAUUUUGGAACCCCGUGAAGCCUAUAGUGAAAAACCAAAUAUCCCCGAUAAAUACUAGAAAGAAGCUAUCAGUGAAACUGAUUUGUCAUGUGUGUAUUCAGCUCACAGAGUUCAACCUUUCUUCUGAUUCAACAGGUUGGAAAAAUUCUCCUUGUAAAAUCCGGGAAGAAAUAUUUUGGAACCCAGUGAGGCCUAUAGUGUAACACCAAGUAUCCUGUGACAAAAAUUAGAAAGAAACUAUGUGUGAAACUGCUUUGUGAUGUGUGGAUUAAGCUCACAGGGUUAAACCUUUAUUUUUAUUCAGCAGGUUUGAAACAAUCUGUUUUUAGAAUCUGUGAAGAAACAUUUAAGAGCCCACUGACACCUAUAGUGAAAAACCAAAUAUCUCACAAUAAAAUAGAAAGAGGCUAUCUGUGAAACUGCUUUGUGAUGUAUGCAUUUCGCUCACAGAGUUACACCUUUCUUUUGAUUCAGCCUGUGGGAAACCCUCUUUUUGUAUAAUCUGCAAAGGGACAUUUCAGAGCCCACUGAGGCCUGUAGUGAAAAACUGAAAAUCUCGUGAUAAAACUAGAAAGAAGCUAUUUAUGAAUCUCCUUUGUGAGGUUGGAAAUAUUCUUUUUUUUUUAGAAUCUGUGAAGAAGUAUUUCUCAGCCCACUGAAGCCUACAGUGAGAAACUGAAUAUACGAUGAUAAAAAGUAGAAAGAAGCUAUGUGUGAAAUUUCUUUGUGAUGUGUGGAUUCAGCUUACAGAGGUA
rnacentral:lncRNA from 10 species